AUGGCAGCCCUCAAACUCCACACGGCCUCUGAAAGCGGGAACGCGCCGAGGCCCGAGUCCAGUGGCCACACACCGCUCCACACACAACUCCAGAAGUUCACCGUUUCUGCAGACAAGACUCUCUCCUGGCUCAAAGACAGCGUUGCGAUGGCCACUCAGAUCUGCAGUUUGGCCGGACCGAACGGUUUUGAAGCAGCCAAGAGGCGUCAGGCCUCACUGGAACAGGAUAUCCUGUCCAACAGAGCCAGGAUAGAGCUGGUCAAGAAGGAGGGUUACAGUCUGGUGAGGGCUCAGCAUCCGGGCAGCAUCAAGAUCCAGGAGUUUCUGAGUCAGCUGGAGGUUCUGUGGGACGAACUGAAGAGAAGGCAUGAGAGGAACGGUCUGGUCCUGAAGGUCUCAGAGGAGCUCAACUGCAGGGUACAUAUAUCUGGUGUUUCCCUGAAUGUUUGGAAGGGCAUGCCUUCUGUUGUUUAAAGAAAAUAGUAUGCAGUAUGUAUACUGAGCAAAAUAUGCCAUUUAUUAUGCCAAGAAAUGCCCACACAACUGCAUUUGCCAAACUGUACAGUAUACAACUAGAGCACACUGUGGAGUACUGUAUCCCAUAAUGCAGUGCGUGCAACACUGAGAAUACAUUUCCAGUGUGAUGAGCAUGAUAUCUUAUCUAUCAUGAUUUGACUUUUUUAAUAUAUUUUUUUUAUUAAACCGACAAAACUGGAAUAAAAAUACAAAAACAGUAUUACUUUACAAGAUUGAUUAAACAUGUAACGUAAUAAGGUUAUGUAACAAAAAUAUAGCAGAUUACAGUUUGAAAUAUUGAUCAUUGCAUUUUGCAUUCUGUUAAAUAGUAUGUAAAUAGCAGACACUGCAAAGUGUAUUUUGCAUGAAGAAAAUGUAUGUAAAAAAGCAAUGUGUGUCUAAAUUACAUAUUUCAUUUAUGCUUAUUACAUUAUAAAAUAUAAAUAAAAAAUAUUGCAAUUUUUUUUUGUUGCAUUUAAUAUUUGCUUUAUUACAGUCUUGAAAAUGUAAUUGGGAAUGCAAAAAAAAAGAAAUGUUGAUGCAUUACAGGGAUUUUUUUGAUGGAAAAUGUGCUUACGUUACUUAAGUUGAAUACAUAUAAUACAAAUAACACAAUGCCAAGUAAACGAAAUGAAAGUAACAUAAAAAGGGGGAAAAAAAAAUUAGUAUUAGGACAUAUUUGCAUUUUUUAUCUUUUUUGACUCACUAUUUCAUUGGACUGCCAAAAGAUAAUAUAUUCUACACAUAAUUUGAUUUCAAAUGCAAAAUAAAACAUUUUUGCCAAAUGCAUGCAGUUUGUAAAUUGUUCAGUAUACAAUCAGUCACACUGCAUGGAAUAUUAUAUCUCAUAAUGGAGUGUGGGAUAGAAAGUAAAGUCUGCUCUGCCUCAUGAGUGUAUUUGUGAUUUGUGCAUAGCAGAGAACAGACAGUCCACAGCAGCUGUGUUUAAUUGAUCAGUGCGAGUUGUCUGGCU
rnacentral:lncRNA from 12 species